rnacentral:lncRNA from 12 species
UCCGCUGCUCAGAUUUCGUGCCGCGGGACGAGGACACAGGACGGAGCCGGGCCCUACCCGGUUUCCCGAGGGCGGGGCCGUCAGCGCCCGGCGGCCGCGGGCGGGGGCUCCCUCCGAAGGGCCAGCAGGUGCGGAGGCCGCGGGAUCCCCGCAGCAUCCUCUCGGGGCCGCCGGUCACGUCCGCGGGCGCAGGGCUCCGGUGACAAAGGGACGCGGAAGAAGCUUCUGGCGCGGCCGCGUGGAAAGGCCACGCCCUAGUGGGGCGCGGGGCAGAGGCGGGCCCUGGGCGCGGCCGAGGAUCUGCGGGGGGGCCGGCGCCCCAGAAGCCGCCUCCGACACGCGCAGUUUCCUCGCAUGAACCGCCAUUAAAGGGGAACAGAACGGGCUUCGCCCCACGCCCGCCUGCCGCGUGGGCAGUGGGACCCGGAGAACUGGCCGGUAGCGACGCGUUCCUGCACCGACCAGGUGCCAAAAAUAAUUGCUGAUUUUGCCAAGUUGUGUCUUCACCGCCUGUCAAAGAUCUCCGUGCAAUGUCAUGUGGCGUCUAAGGUAAGCACACAUUUGUCCUUGUGUUCACUCUCCUUGCUGCUCCGUGUUUGUGAAGCUUAUUCCAUUGGCCUUUGUCAUCUGUUGUAUGAGAUGAGCUUAAAGUCCACGGGAUGUUUCUAUUUUAUUCUCAUUUGCCUUUUAAAAUGUGGUAACUUUUCAAAGCCAUCUAAAAAUUUAAAACCAGAAGGUGAGUGUGUUUCCCCGCCACUUAGCUGUCUUUUUUUGCCUUUUAGGCACAUCAAACUACAACCAAAGUGAAGAAAAGAGAUGAGAGAAAGUGAAUCCUGGACCAGAUCCAGAGAAUUUUCUGCCCAAAGCUCCAAGAGACAAUGUUGGACACUCCUGUGAUUCACAUCCUGGAAAUGUUCUGAUUCCAUGCAACUGGUAAAUAUUAAGUGUAUGCUUUUGUGGAUUAAAUCCUUAGCUCUUGUUCCAACACAAGCUAAUAGUCCUUUGGAUUGGCUUGUUUGUGAAAACAUCUAAAUAAAAAACAUGGCAUUAUAUGCGAGUAUAAAAAC